rnacentral:rRNA from 1 species
CGGGGUGGAGUAAUGUCUGGGAAACUGCCUGAUGGAGGGGGAUAACUACUGGAAACGGUAGCUAAUACCGCAUAACGUCGCAAGACCAAAGUGGGGGACCUUCGGGCCUCAUGCCAUCGGAUGUGCCCAGAUGGGAUUAGCUAGUAGGUGGGGUAACGGCUCACCUAGGCGACGAUCCCUAGCUGGUCUGAGAGGAUGACCAGCCACACUGGAACUGAGACACGGUCCAG